UACGGGGGAGGCAAGCGUUGUUCGGAUUUACUGGGCGUAAAGGGCGCGUAGGCGGCCACCGCAAGUCGACUGUGAAAUCUCCGGGCUUAACCCGGAAAGGUCAGCCGAUACUGCGGGGCUAGAGUGCAGAAGGGGCAACUGGGAAUUCUCGGUGUAGCGGUGAAAUGCGUAGAUAUCGAGAGGAACACCUGCGGCGAAGGCGGGUGCUGGGCUGACACUGACGCUGAGGCGCGAAAGCUAGGGGGAGCGAAACAGG
rnacentral:rRNA from 1 species